rnacentral:rRNA from 1 species
GACGAACGCUGGCGGCGUGCUUAACACAUGCAAGUCGAACGGAAAGGCCCUGCUUUUGUGGGGUUCUCGAGUGGCGAACGGGUGUGUAACACGUGAGUAACCUGCCCUUGACUUUGUGAUAACUUCAGGAAACUGGGGCUAAUACCGGAUAGGAGCUCCUGCUGCAUGGUGGGGGUUGGAAAGUUUCGGCUGUUGUGGCUGGACUCGCGGCUUAUGAGCUUGUUGGUGGGGUAGUUGCUUACCAAGGCUUUGACGGGUAGCCGGCAUGGGAGGGUAGACAGGGACAUGAGGACUACGGGAGGGAGCAGACGCGAACGGGAGGCAACGGGCGGAAAUAUGACACAGUGAGGGGGAGUGUGAGACGAAGACCUUCGGAGCGGAAAGACCUGUUAGGGGUGAAGAACCGCUGUCGCCUGAGACGUAGCGGGAGUGACGGUAAUGAGUAAAGAAGCACCGGCUAACUACGUG